GGUCUUGUAGUCUAAUGGUUUCAGGACGGCGUCCUGAUAAUAUAAAAAAAGAUUAAAGACGCAGACCCGAGUUCGAUUCUCGGCAAGACUA
rnacentral:tRNA from 1 species